rnacentral:tRNA from 1 species
CUGGGUGUAGCUCAGUUUGGGAGAGCGCUGCGUCCGGGGCGCAGAGGCCGCCGGUUCAAACCCGGCCGCCCCGACCA